rnacentral:rRNA from 1 species
AUUGAACGCUGGCGGCAGGCUUAACACAUGCAAGUCGAGCGGAGAGAGGUAGCUUGCUACUGAUCUUAGCGGCGGACGGGUGAGUAAUGCUUAGGAAUCUGCCUAUUAGUGGGGGACAACAUUUCGAAAGGAAUGCUAAUACCGCAUACGUCCUACGGGAGAAAGCAGGGGAUCUUCGGACCUUGCGCUAAUAGAUGAGCCUAAGUCGGAUUAGCUAGUUGGUGGGGUAAAGGCCUACCAAGGCGACGAUCUGUAGCGGGUCUGAGAGGAUGAUCCGCCACACGGGGACUGAGACACGGCCCAGACUCCUACGGGAGGCAGCAGUGGGGAAUAUUGGACAAUGGGCGCAAGCCUGAUCCAGCCAUGCCGCGUGUGUGAAGAAGGCCUUAUGGUUGUAAAGCACUUUAAGCGAGGAGGAGGCUACUUUAAUUAAUACCUAGAGAUAGUGGACGUUACUCGCAGAAUAAGCACCGGCUAACUCUGUGCCAGCCGCCGCUGUAAAAC